rnacentral:rRNA from 1 species
GGUACGUACUCCUGUACACACGGAUAACAUACCGAAAGGUAUGCUAAUACGGGAUAAUAUAUUUGAGAGGCAUCUCUUGAAUAUCAAAGGUGAGCCAGUACAGGAUGGACCCGCGUCUGAUUAGCUAGUUGGUAAGGUAACGGCUUACCAAGGCGACGAUCAGUAGCCGACCUGAGAGGGUGAUCGGCCACAUUGGAACUGAGACACGGUCCAA